rnacentral:lncRNA from 1 species
UUCUCCUCCACAAUCCAUUAAAGGGGUUUCUUUUAGUACUCAGCCUUCUGCCAAAUUGUCACUGAUUCAAGUUUACUCUAGAAGACCAGUGCCUACUGAUACAUGUCCUGCACUAAAGUCUUCUUUACUAUCGAAUUCACCACCGAGUGACCUUGAUCUCCCCAUUAGUCUUCGUAAAGGUAAACAACAGUGUAAGUCUACCUAUUAUGUUGUUAACUUUAUUUCUUAUGAUCAUUUGUUUUCUUCUACCUCUUUAAUUGCCUCUCUAGAUUCUAUUUUCUUACUUAAGACAGUUGAAGAGGUCCUAAUCUAUUUUGGAUAGCUUGAUGCAAUGCUUAAGGAUAUCAAGGCUCUAGAUGAUAAUUAUACUUGGAAACUAGUGAAUUAAUCCCAAGGCAAAAAGGUCGUGGGCUGUAAAUGAGUGUUUAGUGAGGUUUAAGGCACAUCUUAUAGCUAAAAGAUAUGCACAAACCUAUAGAAUCGACUAUUCUGACAUUUUCUCUAAUGGCCAGAAUGAUCUCAAUUCGCUUGUUCAUUUCCUUUACUCUUUCUCAGCAUUAGCCUUUAGACUAGCUCGAUAUCAAUAAUGCCUUUCUACAUGGUGACCUCCAGGAGGAGGUGUAUACAGAGCAACCACCUAGAUUUAUUUCUUAGUGGGAGUAGGAAAAAGUCUGUUGUUUAAAAAAAUCUUUAUAUGGUUUGAAGCAAAGUCCUUGUGCUAGAUUUGGCAAGUUCAAUGAAGUUGUUCAAUAAUUUCAAUUGAAAAAGAGCAAGUGUGACCACUCAGUCUCUUAUAGGCAUUCAAGUCCUGGUAUUAUUCUCCUUAUUGUGUAUGUUGAUAGACAUUGUCACUGCAAGAAAUGAUUAUGUCGAAAUUUCUUCUCUCAAAUCCUUCUUUCAUACGAAUUUCAUACUAAAGAUUUGGUCAGCUUAAAUAUUUCUUAAGAGUAGAAGUCUUGAGUGAAAAAGGAAUUUUUUUGCCUUAAGUAUGUUCUUGACUUACAGAAACUAGAAACUGGAAAGUUAGGAGCUAAACCUUUAGCACACCAAUGAUUCCUAAUGUAUAUCUCACGAAGGAUGAUAGAAACCCCUAUAAUGACUUAGAGAGAUACAAGAGCUUGAUUGGAAAGCUGAGCUACUUUACAGUGAUAACUCGGCCAAAUAUUACUUUUGGAAUAAGUGUUACAAGUUAAUUCAAGUCUAUAUCUACGAUAAAAUAUUGGGCCGCUCUAAAAUAAAUUUUAUAUUAUCUAAAAAGGACCUCUAGACUCGGCAUACUCGUGAUCAUGGAAAUACUACAAUUAAGUGUUUUUCGAAUGUUAGUGGGCGAGAUCCAAAAGUAAUAGAAAAUUCACUACAGGCUACUAUGUACUUUUUGAAGGAAACUUAGUGUCUUGGAAAAGCAAGAAAAGAAGCAGAAUAUGGUAUCCAGAUCCUGUGCGGAGUCAAAAUACAGAGUCAUGACCCAAUCCACUUAUGAGAUUCUAUGGAUAAAUCAUUUGCCGAAAGAAAUUGAGAUGGAUGUUGGGCCACUCACAAAACUUUAGUGUUAUAAUCAAGUUGCUCUUCACAUUGCAUCCAAUCCGAUAUACCAUGAAUGGACUAAACAUAUUAAAAUUGAUUCUCAUUUAUCUGUGAGAAUAUUCAAGAAGAUUUAAUUUUCACCAGUUAUGUGAAGACAGAAAAGUAAUUAGCUUGAAGGCAAGUGUGAUAGUGUGAAUAUAAUCUGUACAUAUUUAGAAUAUAUUGCAAAAUCAUAGGACUAAUUAAUAUUAAUUGAUAGAUAGAGGAUUUUUAAGAGAACGAUUUGUUACCUAAAUAAAACCUUGUAAUCUGUAUAUACAUAUUAUUGUUUAACAGAAAAUACAUCAACUAGUUCCUACAAAUCUAGUUUGUUACAAAAAUAAAAAACUCGAUACCACUAACGCAAAACACAAUCCUACGAACCCAAAGUUCAAAGAACAUGCCUUCCAUUUGUUCUUGACUAAAGUAAAAUAAAAAGUAAAUAAAUAAAUAAAAGUUAUUUAAUUGGAUGGAAGAAAUACAAGGCAAAGCAGCUUUAAUGGGCGCAUAUUGGACUUGUUAACAGCUUAGGUAAAGGAGAAACAAUAAAGAAAAAAGCUGAGUUUCAUAUCAUAGACACCACUAUGGGCACAGGAUCAGAAUAUGGAUAAUGGUUGUUAUCCUUACGAGGGGUGGUAGCAGUUGUCACCCAUAUAGAAAAAGGUUUUUGUAUGUUUAUCAGGGUCACAAUAACUGCACCAUCAAAAUGUCUGUUAUAUUAUUCAUCAACCAUCAGUUAAAAUGAUGGUUCUCUCAAGUGGUUUUUAUUAGUGCUAGUUAAAAUUGAUAUAUGGUUUUUUUCCACAUUCAACAAUAGCACAUUAGCUCAUGUAAUAGUUGCAGUAAAUAGAAUAAUUACAUCUUGUACUGGUGGUCAUGCUCUUCAUGUAAUUGCUGUUGUGUGAGGGAAAUAUCAAACCCCUGCUUUGGGAGGCUGAAUAGUUCCCGAAGGUCCUGAAAUCAUUUGCAUUUGAGUAAAGACUAGACUCCAAAAGCUGCACCACAAAUUGCUCCAAUAAGGAAGCAAACAAAAACCUCAUACUGUUUACCUGCUGGCUAAAGUACCGAAUCUGUUCCUUGUGUUCAGUUGCGCUUUUAAACAAUCCUCCCUUGAAUAUCUAAAGCAAAAAUUUUCCAAAUGACAUCAUUAUACUAUAGCUUUAUUAAUUCACAAGCAUUGCACAUAUAAACAGUUAUUAAAGAUGCAUAGCAAACUUUUAGUUAGGGAACUUUACUAUUUAGUCCAUAUGGUAUAGGGAAAACGAUCAGUUUUAGAAAAUACAUUAAAAUGCCCGAGUUUUAAAAAAAAUUUACUAAUUAUUCUUUCCGUUAGUUUUAGUUGUUAACUAUUUUACUAUUUAGUCUCUAUUGUAUGGAAAAACUCAAUAAAUGAUUCCUUAAUUUUGUAAAAAUAUUUACUAUUUAGUUCCUUCGAAUUGAGGGCAUUUUAGACUUUUACGCAACACUUAACAGCUAAAAUUAACUAAGGGACUAAUUAAUAGACUUUUUAAAAUGUAAGAACGUCUUAAUAUAUUUUUUAAAACCAAGGGACGAACUAAUGAAUUUUCCUAAUCUACAGAGACAACGUAGUAAUUUUCCCUUUUAGAUUUGUGAUACAACUGUUAAUCAAAAGAAUGGAAAAUAAUCCAUAACUCAAAGAUCAACACUAGUUACAUGUGCAUGGUCAACUCUAAUGGCAACCAGAAUAUGAAUUGCAUAAACAGAAAUUUCUUCAACAAUAAAAAAGAAACUAGAUACAUUUAAGAUAAUAUCCAAGAAAUAUAUUUUUCUAACCACUUGCAACAUUGUAUUUAAUAAUGGUCAAUUGAAUCUCAGCUAGGGGUGAGCAUUCGGUCGGUUCGGUUCAAAACCGAACCGAACCGAAAUAACCGAAAACCGAAUUACAGUAUUUUACAUAAACCGAACCGAACCGAAUAAGAGAGAUAACCGAAUCAAACCGAUUUGGUUCGGUUCGGUUCGGUCGGUUUGAUCCGUUAAACCGAUUUUCAAACUUUUCAUUAUUCUUUUUACUCUUUUUAAAUUGAUUUUUAGUAUUCUAAAAUUUAAUCUAAAAAGAGUAAAAAGAACAAUCACAGCACACAAAUUCAACACACAAAUUCAACAAUCAAACAUUCAACACACAAAUUCAACAAUCAAACGUACACAAAUUCAACAAUCAACAGCAAAUAACACUUGCCAAAAUAACACUUGCCGACUGAGGGCUGUGGAAUAAGCACUUGCCGACUGUCCGACGACGCGUGGAGAGCCGAUAGAGUACAACGACCGACGUCGAUGAUGAAUCAGUUCAGUUGAGAGGAGAGUGGAGGCACAGGUGCGAGAAUCUCGCGGCGAGAUGAGAGCCAUGCAGAGCAUAGAGAUGAGAGAUUGUCGACUGCCCGACGACGCGUGGAGAGCCGAUAGAGAGCAACGGCCGACGCCGAUGGUGAAUCAGUCCAAUCGAGAGGAGAGUGGAGGCACAGGCGCGAGAAUCUCGCGGCGAGAUGAGAGAUGGAGCAGAGCACAGAGAGAGAGAUGGAGCAGAUGGAGCAGAGCACAGAGAGAGAGAUGGAGCAGAUGGAGAUGAGAGAUGGAGCAGAUGGAGCAGAGCACAGAGAGAGAGAUGGAGUAGAUGGAGAUGAGAGAUGGAGCAGAUGGAGCAGAGAGCACAGAGAUGAGAGGAGCACUGGCGGCACGCACGAAGAGAUAGAAAUCUGUUUUAGAUUUAGGGCAGGGAAGGGAAGGGAAGGGAAGGGAAAUAGGGAACUAUUAAAACGACGUAGUAUAGGUGAUUUCGGUUCGGUUCGGUCUAAUCGAAAUUUUUACGUCUAAAACCGAACCGAACCGAAAUCACCGAUUUUUUAAAAAUUUCAAACCGAACCGAACCGAAAAAAAAAAAAAACCGAACCAAAAUUUUAAAAUUAAUCGGUUCGGUCGGUUAUUUCGGUUUAAACCGAAUACUGCUCAGCCCUAAUCUCAGCAGUUCAUUUGUAUAUUUCAUAAUCUGAACAUUAAGACCAUUAAGUAAAAGAGGCUUUUUCAAUAGUUCUAAACUAAAUCUAAACUUUAGACACGUUGGAGCAACAUAUUGAUUCAUAACCAACCUCAGUUUGAAUAACAGAACCAGAAUUGGUGUAACAGAAUUUAAUUAAAUUAGUGUGAAAUAGAUUAAAUCAUCUCCCAAUUCAGAAAUAGAUUCAGAAUUUAAAAGAAUGUAAUAGAAUCAGUCUGAAUUUGAAACAGACAACAUUUUAAAUUCCAAAACUAACAUUCUAACAGUUCAUACUGCAAAUUUGCAUACUUUAUAUGAUCUUCACAGCACAACGAUAAGCAAGAAGGGUAAUAAAUCCUUCACCUGCUUUCUGUAUAUCUUUUCUUCAACAGUUCCACAUGUCAUUAAUCUAUACACAAGGACAUCUUUCUUCUGGCCAAUUCGAUAUGCACGAUCAACACUUUGGUUAUCCGUGCUGCAAAAAAAAAUCAGUGAAUUUACAAAUUACUCCAACAAAUAAGUGAACUUACAAACUUCUUUACAAAGCAUGGUAAGCAAAGGCAGAAAAUAUUACAUGAGUCAUGUAUACUCUGGAUCUAAACUAAAACAAAUCAGACAGACUACAAACUUCUUUACAAAGCAUGGUAAGAAAAGGCAGAAAAUAUUACAUGAGUCAUGUAUACUCUGGAUCUAAACUAAAACAAAUCAGACAGACUGCAUAUAUAUAUAUAUAUAUUAUCAUGUAGUUGUAAUUAGAAACCUAUAAUUGCUCUACUAAUUAGGAAUACAAAUAUACAAGGAUAAGAUUUGGUGGACUUUCUAUUACACUUCCCCUCAAGUUGGAGUAUAAAUAUUAAUCAUAUCCAAUUUAUUACAAAUGUAGUAUACUUGAGCUCCAAUCAAAGCUUUUGCAAAAAUAUCUCCUUAUUGCUCUCCCCUCAAGUUGGAGUAUAGAUAUUAAUCAUGCCCAAUUUAUUACAAAUGCAGUAUACUUGAGCUCCAACCAAAGCUUUUGCAAAAAUAUCUCCUUACUACUCUCCAGUUUUGACGCGUCCUUUUGAGAUAACUUUUUGUUGAAUCUUCUCGUGUGAUAAUCAAUCUCUAUUUGUUUGAUUCGCUCAUGAAAAACAAGAUUAGAAACAAUAUGGAGGAAAUUUUGAUUAUCACACCAUGCUUUCACAAGUAGUUAGGUUUUAAGGCCAACAUCAUCUUGUAACUUAAGUAUUCACAUUACUUCAUAGACUGAUUGAUCCAUGGCUUUCUACUUCGAUUCAGCACUACAUCGAGAAACUCCGCUAUGCUUCUUACUCUUACAAGAUACCAAUUACAUCUAACAAAAACAUAAUAUCCUCUAGUUGAUCUCCUAUCAGCCUUAGUUCUUGCCUAGUUAUGUGUCUGAAAAACAUUCAAUGUUCAAAUGCCUAUGAUUAUUAUAUAAGGAAAAAAUUACUAUUAGGUCCCUAGGAUUUCAAUAAAUUUACCCUAUUCCUAAAGUCACUCAAUUAAAAAUGUUUUUGUAUUUUAUCAAAUUAAAAUCUUUUGUCAAAGAAACCAUUACCAAUCCUGAAUAUUUAGGCUUAUUAAACAUAAAAGACCAAAACUUUAUAUUUAAUCACCAUUAUAGCUAAAACUUGCAAAUUUUGGAUGACAAAGCCCAUAUUUUAAAUUUAUUACAAUUGUAACCAAUCCUUAAAAUAAUUUUUCCAAUUGGACAUAAUAGUAUAAAUAUUUACGUUUAAUCACGAUUAUAGUCAAAAUUUAAUUAAAAAUUGGUCAAUUUAUUUAUGUGCAUGACAUGUGUAUCUUCUUUUGUUUUUAUUUUUCAAAAUUAAAUGGAUGAACUAUUCUUUGAGAUUGAGAUUCAAAUACAAAUAAAGUGGAUGGCUUGUGAUUUGCAAUUAAAACAUUUCGUGUUGCUCUUCAAUAAAUCCCAUAAAGAGUUUUGAGGUUAUUUGCUCCCUAGCAUUUGUCUACUCUUCAAUUUUAUCAUUUAUUAAAGAUAACAUUCUCUAGGAACUAAAAAAUGAAGACACUAUUUUAGAUGCAAUAAUGCAUACCAACAUCACUUUAAGCAAAGAUGAAUGAUCUAUUAUUGAUGCUAGUUAAAAAACUAAAUCUGCAAGCUGUUCAUUUCUUCUCUCCUAUUUCACUUCUUUUAUACCUAAAUUUUUGCUUGUGAUCUAAAAAACCAACUCUAAUCAGCAUAAGGUCUGUUUUUCUUUUAUAUUAUUAAUUUUGAAUCUGUAGAGGAUAUCAACAUUUAAAAUUGAAUGAAGCUCACCUCUCUAGAAGUUAUUUUCUUUUAAAAAGUUUGGAUAUUUGAAUGAUGCAGACAGCCUUUAAAUUUGUUUUAAAGAAGAGCAUAUCCAGUCAUUGAAGAGGGUUUCUAGACCUGGUCAUCUGGAAUGGCUCCAAAAAGUUGGGCUGUUAUUGCCAUGCCAUUUUUACUUUAAGUUGGGCUGUUAUUGCCAUGCCUUUUUUACUUUAUUUAUGUAACUUACCAUCUUCCUUUGAUUAAAGAGUAUGAACUUUGGUCUUAUUGUCAAGUAUGUCACCAUUAGGUGAUAGAAAUAACUCGAGUUUUACUCAUUUUACAUGUUUGCCACUAUAGCCUAUUUCCUUUGUAAGUUCAUAAGAUCUAUUGCAUUCACAACUAUUGAAAUCAAAAAUUAAAUUGUUCAUUUUAGUUUAUGGAUGAAUUAAAGUUCAAUUUUAGCUUUAUACGUGUGAUUUAUUUUGGUCUAAUAGAGCCACAAAUUAUAAGAUUCAAUGAUUAAUCUAAAAUUUGAAUUCUAAAAUUAAUUAUGGGCAAUUAUACAAAUUUGAUUAGAAUUGAAUUUACUCUAAAGUUAUUUUCCAAGAUAAUUAUGCAGCAUCUAAACUUAUUUUAGAGUUUAGCUCUCUAAUUUUAAUAUUCUAAUACUGCUACGUAUGUUGCAUUUGGCUUUUACCUUAAUUUCUAACCAAUUUUGUUUAAUGCUACCAAAUAGUAGAAUGUAAGCCAUUUUCUCAUAAGAUGUUCUUAAAAAAAAUAUAUAUUACAUAAACAAGUUAUUUUGAGCAAAACAGCAGUAUAGUUGUCUUUCCAUUUCAACAACACCAAAAUUUGCUAUAUGUAAAUAAAAGGAAAAGCAUAAGCACCUUGGAUUCCAUGCAGGAUCAACCACAAUGACACGGUCAGCUUUUGUAAGUGUAAGGCCAAGACCACCAACUUGAGAUGUGAGGAGAAAUAUAGGGGCCCCAAAACCUUCUUGGAAAUCCUGAAAAAGGAAAUGAAUAUUUUAGAUAAAGGUUCCAUAAAUGAGAAGUUCAAGCUAACUAUUCUGAAUUCUCAAGACACUUAACAUUAACAAUCUUCAAUCUGUCACUAGCUUUAGUGGUGCCAUCAAUGCGUAAGAAUUUGUAACCAUUAGACAGCAGGGAUUCCUACAAAAACCAAAGAUUGAUCCAAAAACACCUUUAAAUGCGUACAUAUUAACAAAAUUGAAGCAAAUUAGAAAAGAUAACAUCCAUAAACUUACAAAUAUAUCAUAAAUUUUGAGAUCAAAAGCACUGAAAACUUAAGAAAGAUACAACAAAAUUUUGCCCAGCUCUUUGUCCAUCAAUAGCUAUAUAACGAAAUAUAUACUAAAGAAUUUGAUCCUCUCAAAUAACAAAACAAUAGAUGAAAUAAACAAAUUGUAUAGAAUGACAGCUUAUACAUAUUCAAGGUGAACAAGCACACUACAUCAGCUAAUGCAGACAUGACAGCAGCAUAACUACAUCAUCACUUCCUACUCUGUCAGAGAGAAACCAGAAAAGUAGGAGGAUAGAGUUUCAGCCUUUGGAGCACUAAUUUUCACCUUACCGGGCUUCUUUUAUAGCUUAUGACAAACCAAGGCCCUAACCCUAUUCCACAUGUACCUAUGCCUCAAGUCAAGUCAUGAAAAUAAGUAAUCAGACAGAAACAUAAUUUUGGUGAUAUCAACUAAAUAAUUCAAUGGAUUUAAGACAGUUUUGAAAUCCGAUCCAAAAAUAGUUUUUUGUGCUAAAAAUACUGUUUACAGGAGAAGCACGAACACAAUAGGAAGUGUAACCUAGCAGAAGAAGAUUGAUUAUUCAAGGCUGUUUAAGUAUGAUUGCACUCUCUAAUAGUAUGAAAGGAAUAUAGAUUGUAUCCACAACCUAUAUAAAUUCCCCUAGACUUCAUAAUAUCAAGAUUGCAACUUUUACCAAGUCUUCCUUCAUUGAAAACAUCAAUCAAGCCCCAUCUUUUCUCCUAUAGAGCAAAGAAUUUCUAUUGAUAAAUUAUAAGAACAAGUAAAAAGCCCCUAAUGAUAAUAAUAGUAAUAAUAAUAAUAAUAAAUGAACAUCUCAAACUAACAAAAUAAAAAAGUAAAACAGUAGUGAAGCACAAAUGCUCCAAAGACCCACUUUUUGAGAAAAAUUUAUAAAACCACCAAACUAUGGAACAUUAACAUAAGCCAAAAACACUACCCUAUACAGCAAUAAUAGUACAAGUAGAUAUUGGUCCCUAAAGAAAGUUUCCCCAUCCAAAUAUACCAAAUAAUAGCAAAAUUAGCCCAUCUACAGAGAACGAUCCCCUACUUUCUUCUCCCAAAACAUGUAAAUUAAAUUAUAAAAUUCUUAAAGUCUGUAAGCAAACUGGCCUAUUCCAAAAUGCCUACAACAUAUACCUCAGUGUGUAUUAACAAGUAUAUAUAAUAGUUUGAAAGUCUUGAUUCUUAGAAGGUACAAAAUAAAUAAAUAAAUCUAAAGGGUAUUAACAAUAACAACUAAACCCUAAUCCCAAACUAGUUAGGUUCAGAUAUACGAUUUCUUUCGCCACAUAAGAAGAGGAGAAUAUUAAUAAGUUCAUAAUUUGAUGCACAUUUUGCAUUAGAUCCAUUUGCACAAAGUACUGUGUAACGACCCUAAAUUCUGAAGAUCAUUAGUCGAGUCAAUAAAAUAUUCUAGGACUUGGAAAAUGAUUCAUAAAGACAGUUAAAAAUGUAAAAUAAUUACAAUGAAUAAAAUUCAUAUAAAAAAUAGAAAAGAACAUGAAUUAUUAUAAUUUAAGAACUAAAAUUAAUAGACUAGCUAAAUCAAAGACUUGAAAAUUAAUAGACAAACUUAAAUUAAUUACAUAAAAUUAAAAGAAUAAAAGUAAAAAAGAAACGAAAAAAAAAUGUAAGCAUUAAAAGGGAUAGUGGAGCUUUCCACCACCACCCACCAUCUUCUUCCUUCCUUUAUCCCUUCUCUUUCCUUACUCUUCUUUUUUUCCAUUUUCUUUCCUCACAUUCGGUUACAAUCAACCAACUGUCACCACCACCAAAUUUCACCCCAUUUUACCCAAAUUCAAGUAUAAAUCAAAACGAAAUAGAGCAAAUAAGUGAAAAUUUACAAGUAAGGGAAGUUUGGUGAAAGAAUUGAAGAGCAAGAAUUCAACCAGCAUUAGGUGAGUAAAUUUCAGCCUUCUUUCAACUCUUCAGUCUUCUCUUUUCCUCCUUGGGUGUUUUAGCGAUGGGGAAAGGCAUAGGAAGUGUUGGAGUAAGCAAACAAACAAGUUUCAAUAGAGAACUUAUUAACAUGAUAUGAUGAUAAUUAUAUUUGUACACCAAAUUCAGAUGAGAGGUGACACAAGAAAGCCAGUAAUUUAUGCACUUAAAUUUUCCUCUUUGAAAAACAAAACAAAGGAAAAUACACCAAAAAUAAAAUUAUAGUUUUAAACAAACCUGAAUAAGAUUAAGCAUCUUGCGUGUUUGGGAGAAGAUAAGAACAUUAUGCCCCUUUGGAAUUAAAUCAUCCUAGUAAAAAACAUCAUAUGCAUUAAACAUAAGCAAUUCAACACUAAAACUUGGGCAUAAUUUAUGAUUUGAGUUAUCUGGAGGUAUCUAACCAGUAGUGACAAAAUAAAAGAUAUCUUGCAUGAAACGUUGUCAUGCUUCUCUUGAAACUCAACUCUUUCAGCUACAUCAGCAACCUGCUUUGCCAAUUUUUCUGCUACACCAGCAUCCUCUGGAUUUAGCAUUGAAUCCAUUCCUUCUAAUACAUCUUCAGCAGCUCUUUUUGUCAAAAGAAGUGGGUGAUCACAUAUUUUUUUUAGAAUCUGCACCAAGGCAAAUAGUAAUCAGUCAUAAACACAGUCUAUGCAUCAAAACAGAAGUUAUAAAGCAAUUAAGUGCAAGACAAUGUUUGGUCUAAUCCUAUAUAUGUACAGUGUAUGAAAUAACAAAAACAAAAAUGUGUGGAUAAUGAUAAAGCACCGUCAAUGCAGCCAGUGGUGAGCCAUCAAAAGCUGAUAACACCAGCUCACUUUGCAAAAAGGCUUCAUACAUUUGUUUCUGCACACAAAUAAGCGGACCUGUCACAUGAUUAAUUAAAAAUAAUUCCAUGAAAAUAAAAUGGAAGAUGACUUGAAAUGUAGACCAAGCAAACAAACCCCACCUGACAGCGGGUAAGUCUUAGCCACACAAUCAUCUCAUUCUUUUUGGAAAGUGUAGCAGUUGUAGAAUCAUCUUCCUUAAAUACUUCACUCUUCAAUCGACGUAAAAAAUAAGGUUGAAUGCGUUCUCUUAGCUCCUAUUAAGUAAAUAACAAACACUUAUGAAUCAUUUUUGGCUAUAGUCAUGAAAUUUACCCAAUAACUACUAAUAAAACAAAAUUAAAAAAGCUGAAAUCUUAAAAAUUGUAAGGUUUAUGUUACGUGUUAUAGGAGAAAGAUGAGAAAUGUAGAGGAAAAUAUGUAAUUAGACUUGAGGGUAAAUUGGGUAUAGAUUCAUAAAGUAGUUAGACAGCCAGAAGGUUAUUAUCCAGCUGGGUUUCUGUUAGAAAAACAAUAUAUAUGUUUGCAGCUUAUUGUAGAGAGACUAUGCAAAUACAUUAAUACAAAAGCCUAUGCCCCAUAUACCCCAGAAUAUUCUGAGUUAUUAUCUAUUUUUCAAAUAACCGUACACCUUCAUAAGUUCUGCAGCAUCAAAGUCCUCAUUUGUCCUGUUUUUACCCAGAAUUCCAACCAAUUAUCUUUGCAAGUUUUUAAAUGUAUAUGUUUUUUUCAUGAUCAUACUCUUAGAAAAGACAAACUCGAAGUUAAAUCCAUUAAAUGUGUUUUUUUGGAUAUUCACAACUUUAAUUAGGCUACAAAUAUUGUGAUCCUACUACUAACAAAUAUUUUGUAUCUGCAAAUAUAAUCCUUUUUCAAACUUCUUAUUUUUCCUCUAAUCAAGCACACAAAACCUUUGUUCCUUCAACCUUGCCUAUACUCAACUCUUAUUUCUUCUCUAUCUCAAAUUUGUCAACCUUCCACUUCUACACCACCUCUUCAGACCUACUCACGUCGUUCUGAUUCCCCAUGCUAAUAACAAUAUUUUGAGACAACUAAAAAUGAAAAGAUGGACGAAAAUUAUAGAACGGAAGGAAUACUAGACUUUGAGAUCAAUUCUACUUUCAUAAAAAUUUUCAUUUUUUCAAUUUACCUUUAUUGUUUGGCAAUGUACAAAACCUAAUUUCUACAGGUACGAUUGAUAUGAGGUUAAAUAGGGUUAUGUAUUACGCGGUAAUAGUUAACCUCAUUUAGUUAUAAUUGGAUUUGCAUUAAAAUUUACACUAGGUUAAUAUAUCACCUCUGAUAGGUGCAUGUUCAUUGCACUACCUCACCCUAGUGCAACCUCCGAAUGAUUUUAUAUCACUUUAAAUGGGUUACAUUUUAACCCCUCAACUUUUUUUAUUUCUGAUCUUGUCAUACCAUACAUGAGAUAGGUUAAUGGGUUAAUAGUUAACCUCAUUUUCAAUAUUGAAUCAAACAUCAUGAAAAGAAAAUUUUUUUUAGGAAUUAAUUAUUCCUCCAUAAAAGAAUGCACAAUUAACUAUUAACCUUAUCUUAUUAACCCUAUACCAAACAUAUCCUAAGAGUUGCAACUUCUCCAUUACGACAAUUAUAUCUAUAUAACACAUUAGCCAUUUCAACAACAUAAAUGAAGUCAUGGUUGCAAUCUUAUCACUCAUGAAAUAUAGCUGAAAAAUUCAUUAUUGUGUUGCUUAAAUAAAAAGAACAAAAUGGAUAAGGAUAGCAUAUACAAGUAAUUUGAGAUCAAAGUAAAUGGAAAUUUUAAACUUGGUAUUAGAAGAAAUGGAAAGUUUUGUCAUAAAUAUGGAUAAAAUUAACACAGAGUUACUAACUUAAGUUUUAGGUUUCUCUAGAUUGAUAAAUAUUAGGUCUUGCAAUUAAGAAUGGAAAGAAAAUUGCAUCAAAUAGAAUUGUAAAAUGCUCAUUAAUACAACAUGGUUUCUAUUCUAAUUUAAGACCAAUACAAAAGCAUGAUAUUGAAGUUAUGGGGAAUGAAAAUUACCAUAACCGCAUUAGUUAAUAUGUAGAUAAACCUAGACAUUGUAAAUUUUUACUUCAUAUUUGCUUUCAAGCGUGACAAAACUUGUAGCAUCCCAAUAAGGGUAAACCACUAUAAAGCAAUAAGAAGUUAAGGUGUAAGUGAUGGGUUAGUUGCAAGCCUAAACAUACUAACAAUUCUUUAUUAAUAGAGCACAUCACAAUAAUCACAGUACUAAAGAAUAUCUAAGCAUGUACUUGUCAUGCUUGCAAUACUGGAGCCCAUUUUGAUUCCGUUAGGCACCCUCCAAAACUCAUUAAUAUCAAAAACCUCUUUCUAACUUUGCAAAUACACCAAUAUCUUUUCGAUGGCAAUAUACUAAUAAAAAUUACAUAGGUUAAAGUUCCAACACAAAGCAAAAAAGUGUUAAGCUUAGAGCAAAACAAUUCAUUGAUAGGGUUCCUUCUCCUUUUCACCUUUUUUUACCAUUUACAAAAAUGUUUUGCACCCAACCAACUGGAAAAAAAAUGUGAAUAUCCAUAUCAUCAUUACACAUUUUGAUUUGGUUAUAACACCCCAUGAAAUGCAUAGCAAAAGAACACACAAUUGAUAAAGUGUUCCCUCUCAUUUUCACCUUUUAAUUAUUUAGAAAAAUAUUGCGCAAAUAAAUAUCCUAAGCAAUUUGCUUUUAACAUCAUAAUCUCAUUGAGAAGAAUGAAAAGAAAAAAAAAAGAAUCUUUGAACCCAUGAUGCCUAAACAGCAUUCCACCACAUAUAAAUUCAUCACCUUUGCAACGGCUGAACCAAUAUGCUUCUCCCUAGCAGAAGCACUUUUAUCAUUGCCGCGAAGGAUUGGAUGUUCAUAGUGUUCUUUAAACCUAAGAAAUUGUCAACAUUGACAUCAUUAAAAGUACAUAUUUAGUCAAAGCCAAAUGAAGCAUGAAGGAAAACAAUACCAUUUAUAGUCACCAAGCAGAGUGGGGCAACAAAAGUUGAAUAACGUCCACAUUUCCUAUUUUGAAGAGACAAGUAAUCAAUUUACAUUCAGAACUUUCUUCAUGUGGUUUAAUAUGAAACAACAUUAGCAAAGUAUGGAUCCUAAACAUGAUACCUUAAGAUUGUUUUGAAUUGGUGUUCCACUAAUAAUAAUACGAUGAGCACUCGGUAUCUCAAGCAAACUUUUUGCCCUCUGUGUGCUAGGAUUUUUUAUGAGAUGUCCCUAGAAAAACACAAUGCAUAGAAACAGAUUAAAUAAUGUAUUCAUAAACAAAGCAUUUGUUACUUCUAAUUUGAAAAUCUCAAACUGUGGGAAAUUUAAAUGGAAUUCCAUAAUUUGGAACCAAAAUUAUAUCAAUAAAGCUUUGGAAUCAAUCAAUUUUAAGGCUCCAAACAACUAACAUCUAACAAUCAACAAAUUAAAAUAAAAUUUGGUUAAUAAUUGGGGACCAAAAGGCUAACAUAUGAAAUACCCCCCCCCCAAAACUUUCCAUAAUGGAAUACAAAAUGCCACUCUACUAUUCCAUCUCAAAACAACUAAUCUAUUAACAUGCACAUGCUCUCUUAUCUUAUUUAUAUAACCAAUUAUCACAAUUAAAAUAAGUAUGAUUGAGCUGCAAUUAAAUAUGGACAUGGUGAAUUGUAUAAUGAAGACCCUAAGUAGAGUUUAGAGAGUUGUAAAUGGAGGCUGCAAUUAGUAGAAACUGAUAGGUUUGGGGCUGGUAAAAGGAAAUGAAGUAAAAUUGGGAAUAAGCAUAAAAUAUGAAUAAAAAGCAAUUGAAAUGUCGUUUUGUUUAUUUAAUUGAAUUGGUUCACCAAAUUCUUUACAAACAAAAGAGUAAAAACAUAUAAAUUCCAAUUGAACUCAAUCGAAUUCGUCUAAAGAUUCUGAAGUAAAUCUGGAUCUUGGUCCAACAGUGAUAGUUAUUGGAAAGAAGAUAUUAAGAGCAGGAAAAAAAGUUAGAACUUAAGCACAAAGCAACUUUCACUAAGCUUUUCUCAAGGCAAUGAGAGAAUCCUAAUGUAGUUAUGGUUCCAACUCAAUUAAGUUAGGGGCCUACUGUAUGCAUAUUAAAAAAAAGCCAAGAAACCUGGAAUAAAUAAGGGAAAAAGAUAGAGAAUGGUUCAUAUACGAUUUUACAAACGUGGUAACUUUUUUAAUGGAUGACAUUACCAGCUAACCAUAUAUGGUUACACAAAUGUAACAACCUUGUCAUAGCAGAAGCAUCAAAGGAAAAGUCAAUGCUUCCCUGGCUUACAUUACAACUAAUGUCUCCAUAAUUUGAGCAGGUGAAAAAAGGAUGCAUCGUAAAAUUAAAUAUCGUAUAAAGAUAUCUACCUCAUCAAGAAUCAUGUAAUCCCAUAUGUAACCACCCUCACUUUCCUCAUCAGCAUAGCCAUCUCCUCUUAAUGAUUUUGCAUUGUUCCGCACAAUAUCAUAAGUUGUAAGGAGAAUGCCUUCGUGCUACAAGGAGACAAGGAAUGCAGAAACGAUGGAACUUAAAAAUAUGCAUAUAAUCAACAAUCAAGAGAGAGGUAAACAACUCAGUAUUCACAAUUCUCUAAAAACCAAGAUUACAGAACAUGGAUCAUGAGGAAAGUGCUUGCAAGAAACUACAAAAACCAAUUCAGAUUCAAAAGCAUAUUGAAUUGGACUUGAACUUUAAAUUUACAGUUGAGGUGUUGUGACAUUUCAUUUUAAAAUCCAUAGAACUGAACCUCCUUUCAAGUCCCUAGUUCAAUGUAAAGAGUAAAAAUCUAGAUCAUUUUCUUGCUUCCCAUUUACUGGUAGGGUAUUGUACUUCAUGAAAUGCAUGGACAUUAUAUCAUGUACUCUGAUUGGAAAUUCAGUAGUAUCAACAAAAAAAGCACUAGUGAAACCUGAAGUAUAUAUUGCAGCUCAUAUUGUCGAGCUUUGGAAGAGGUCCCAAAGUAUCUACAUGGAAGCACAGUGACAGAUCAAUAUAUAUCAACAGACAACUUUUCUUCAACCUUUUAAUAUAAGAGCUUCAGUUAAAUAGCCUUACUCUCUAGUUUCUCCAGAAAGCCCAACAGUGGAUAGCUCUUUGAUCCAAUGAGGAAGUAGUGUUUUAGGGGCCACGACCAAUGCCCUUUUAAUUAACCUCGAAUGAAAAAGUCCAGCUAUAAAUCCACAAAUCUGCAAAAGCAAACAAAUCAAAAUCAAUUAAUUGGAUACAUAACUACAAAAAUAUUCCAAUAAAAUUUGCUCCAGUUUUCUUACCUGCAUUGUCUUACCUAGACCCAUAUCAUCUCCUAGGAUUCCACCCUUACCCUGAUAGUGCAAAGACCAUAGCCACUUUAACCCAUCACGCUGAUGUGGAUACAACAUUUUUGCAAUUUUACUUGGUAGUUCAAAUGUAGAUCUUGGACCAGCCAAAGAAAAGGAGCUUUCAUCCUCCAAAACUGAAUCAUUUGUAUAAUCAUCCAACAAAUCAAUUGCACAGGGGGCAUCAGAUGACUCCUUGCACUUGCUAUCACGCCUCCCAGCUUCUUCAACCACCUUUUUGCCACUCAAAACGAAGCAAUCAUCAUCCUCUUCUUCCCUAAGAAUAGGCACAUAAGAUUGCCUUGCAGAACUUAAUCUCCCUUGCACCCUUUUGGAUUCAUUUUUCUUUGGUCCUUGAGUACUUGUCUUAGUUUUCCACUCCCUAGUGGCAUGGUUGUCACCCUGGGACUCACGACUCAAAACAUUUUCCUCAUUUUUUUCAACAUUAGACAUGUAGGAAUGUCCCCCAGCUUCCAAUUUGUCAUCCACCCUUUCAUACUCAUUCUCCAUUAGCCCUACGCUAUAAUUGUUGGCCCUGUGCAACUUAUCAAGAAAAGCAUCAGCUCUAGACUUGCUCAACAUAUGAACCUCAUCAUAAUCAUCCACAACACUCUCAAUGCAACCACCAACAAUCUUAUUCACUUCAGAUGAAGAAUCAGAUGGAUAAGAUGUACCAGAAAAUGAGGAGUCAGCACUUGCAUAUUGAGGCACAUCAACUUUCUUCUCUCUAUCUCCAACUCCAACCAAUUGUGAACAGUCAUCAGCUGCCUUGACAUUGUGAAUGUCUCUCUUUUUGUCAAUUGAUAAAAGAUCCAGCCUGGAGCUCAAAUCAUCAAGAAUAUACCUGAUUUCAUUGGCAGCCUGAUUACUGUUGGCAUGAGUUGUAGCUCCAGAUGGGAGAGGUGAAUCGAAAUCUGUAAUAUCAGAAAAAGUAGGUUCAUUGAGCUCAGGAGCUACUCUCCCAGCAUUCUCCUUCUCCCGAGAUGAGGCUUUGCAUAGUCGACGUCUCCCUUCAAUCUUAACCUUUGUCUCCUUUUCUUCUUCAGAAAUCCAAGAACCCGCACACAAAAGCAACAAAAACUCUUUGUAAACAAACAAAUAGAGAUUAAACGGGGACAAAAAGUAAUGGAAAGUAAAAUCCAUAAAAGCAUUACCAAAAGGAAAAUUAAAAUCAGUAAUAGCAGGAACACUAGGUUCAUCGAGCAUAGGAGCAACAUUCCCACCAUUUUCCUUGUCUCGAGAUGAGACUUUGCAAAGUCUACGUCUCCCUUCAAUCUUAACCUUUGUUAGCUUUUCUUCUUCAGAUAUCCAAGAAUCCCACACAAAAUCAACAAAAAGUUCUUGGUAAACAUACAAAUAGAGAUUAAAUAUGGCCAAAAAGUAAUUGAAAAUAAAAUUCGUAAAAGCAUUACCAGAUGAAGAAUUAAAAUCAGUAAUUCCAGAGAACAUGUGAAUUUGAUGAUGAUCAUCAUCAUCAUCAACGCCCCGCUGGGUCCCAGUAGCCGAUGCUUUGCAUAGACGACGUCGUCCUCCGAGAUUCAUACUCUCUUCUUCCUCUUCUGUACACCAUACAUUAAUGAAUUAACAAAUAACACACAAUCAAAACCCUAAAGUAAAGCAAGUGAAAAAAGAAACAACGACAAAGAGAGAGACCGAAAGAAGAUGGAUUCUUCGGGGGAGCAGAGAGGUCGUAGAGAAAACGAUAAUGGCUAUCGUUUAAGCUUACUGGUUUCCUGCUACUUUUCUUGGCGUCGGCCAUUUCUGUUUACCAGACCCAGUAGUGAAUAGAAUUGGGUUUGUUUUUAAUGGGUUGUGGAGCGGAGUUAUUGAAUUCUCCCGCUUAUUUGAAAUUUGGAUUUUGCAUUGGCAAAUGAUGUAAUAAUCGCCUAGGGAGUAGUCCCUGUUUUUUUAUCUUUCACUCCGGCUUUGUUAAAAAUAUAUAUAUAAAAAAAAACCUACUUCAACGAGGCUCGGCAAAGUUACUAGAAUUGAAAAACCUACUAAGUUAUACCAGAACAAAAAAAUCGAUAUCAUAGGAAAUGAACUAAAUUUAUUUUACUAUAUGAUUUCAAAUAUGAUUCCAGUUAUGAUUCUUUCUGAAUCUUUCAAUAGAUUUUUAAAAUGUAAGAUAAUUAAUUUGAUGUGAUAUUCCAUUAGAUUCCAAAUAAACAAAAAACAAAAUAUUCAUCCAUAUGCUUUAUACCAUUAUUCAUUCUCAAAACUUUUAUUUUAAUAUCAAAUUGAGUAAAAAUUAUCUUGUGAAAAAAUUAAAAGCAAUAAAACAUAUCACUCUUUGUUCUUAUUAAAUAAAUUCAAGUCAUACCUGCAAUCAAUAAAAAUAACAAAUCAAUAAUUAUUAGAUAAUGGGACCAUUUGAAUAGGUGUCCAAAUAUCAAAAUGGAUGAUCACAAAAGGAUCUCAAUCCUAUUAUUACUUGAGAGAAAAAAGCGUUUUGUAUGCUUAAUAUACUCAUAGCAUCACAAACUAAAGAAUUACACUCAAUUUUGAAAAAUAAAUCAGGAUAAAAUUUAUUUAAAAUAAAAAAUUAUGGAUAUCCUAACUGUUAAUGCUAGUGUAUGAUUUCUUAUUGACUUCCUAAUUUUUUUCAAAAAUAGUCCUAGGUGAAUUCAAAUUCAGAUUCUCUUUCAACAUAUAUAAGUUAUCGUAUAGUCUACCAUUGUCAAUCAUCUUCCCAAUUUGAAGGUUCUGAAUAACAUUAUGGUCAAUAAAAUAUUUACUUUUAUAAUUAAGUACUUUAUUGAGAGCACUAACAGAUAAAAUAUUAAUAAAGAAAUAAAGAACAUGAAGAAUAGAGAAUAGUAUAAUAUUUGGAGUACAUGCAAUAGAACUGGUUCAAAAGAUAGGAGUGAAAGAACUAUACACUAUUGUAACAGUGCUCGUUUAUAGACAUGGAAAAUAAUUGAGGAAGUCUUUAAAAGAGUAUGUCAUGUGUCUAUUUGCACCAAAAUCAAUAAUCUAUAGAGACGACAUGUUACAAAAUAGCAAUAAAGUGAACACAACAAUGCAAGAGGUUGCCUAACUAAAGCGAACACCCAAUCAACACCCAACUUCAGCAAGAAACCCUUUUUGCUUCUACCAUGGCAAGGAGCAGCAAUGAAGCCAAAAAAAAACCCAAAAAGAGGGUAAAAAGAAGCUAUCCACACUAAAUAAAUAUCUAACCAACUCCUAAUAGAGAAAGGAAUAGUAGUAGAAGGCUGAAAACAGAAGCCCAAGGUCAACAGCAUUGGACAGACGUGAAGAUCCUUACUGAAAACAGGGUCACGCGCCAAUAAUGAGUGGCGCGUGAGCACGCACCGAUAGAUGACACAUCGAAGGCAAGCGGACGGCCGGUGAGGAGGCUACGAUCCUUCUGAGAGUGGCGGUGAUGAAAGAAAAUAUGCCUAGAUAGAAGAGUAGCAAAUUUGGUUGUCUAGGGUUUUGAAAAUUCAAAACUAAAUUAGAACCCUAAAUCAGGCUUAGACUCUAAUACCAUGAAUAAUUUUAGGAAAAAUUUUUAAUUUUAUUCUAAAUGAAUUGAUCUUUACAAGAUUUUAGUAUUUAUACAUAAAGAAUUAACCUAAAUUAGGAAUAUUUAUAAUAAAAAUAAAAUCCCUAUAAUGAAGCUUAAUUAGAAUCCCUAUAAUGAAGCCUAAUUAGAAUAUCAAAUAUCUAAAUUCUCCUAAUUAGAAACUUUUUAUGUUGGUCAACAUCAUCAACUUCCACAAACUCUCCAUCGCCCAAGUGCAUUCCAAUAGCUGGCGCAUUCUUGUGGCGUUCCGGUUCAUCUGUUUCAACAACAUUGAGCUAAGCAUUACUAUAUUCUCCGAACUAUACCAGCUAGGCACCCGAGUCAAUGAGGAGUAUUGGUUCUUCAAUGGUAAGAAGCGUCACAUCCUCUUUGAUUAGCUCUCAUCAUCUCUUAAUCGAUGGAAGAAAAAAAUUUUCAUCAUCCACUAUCAUGUGUCUGAGGGGUUCAGUGUUAGGAAAUCCAGAGAUUUACUGCAACCCAAACACGCAGCGAAAAAAAAUAAAAAUCUUUAUUUUCCUUUCCGGGAUUCGUGUGCUUCGUUUAUUUCGAAGAAAAUGAUACGAGACUAACCAGUUUGACUCGACGAGAAUAUACUAUUGGCGAUUAAUGAUGCUACUUUUUCAACGAACACCCUCUAUGGUAUCCACACAAAUAUCUUCUAUCCUUCUAGAGUGUUAGCUUUCUCAAGAUGGAUAAACUAUGUACUCUCGAUCUGCAACUAAAACGAAUUCUCAAAAACGAUACUUCCACUUCGCAGAAGCGGUUUUUAUUCGUUUUUAGUCUUUUAUUUUCCCACAACUCUUUUCGUGAAAGAGUUGUGUUCAUAACCCACUAUCACGAUCUCACAGAUACUCAAAUAUCUUAUGUAGAGUUGUGUUUAUAACCAACUAUUACAAUCUCACAGAUACUCAAAUAUCUUAUGUGAUAGAGUCCUUUAUCUGUAACAGUUAUAGAUAAACUGCAUAUCCUUUUAAAUAUUAUUAUCUUAUAAUAAUAAAUAAUUAAUAUUAAUAAUAAUAACUCUUUAUUAUUAUUAAUUAUAUUAAUGGGCUUUGGGCUUUUAGCCCAUUAAUAUGACAUAGCACAUCAAUAACGUUCUUUUGUGUGUAACCCAAUAGGCUCACAUUAAUUGGCAAUAGGCCUAGUCCCACAAGGCCCACAAAUCAUAAGCGGCUUCUAGCAAGACAUUAUGACUACCCAAUUAAUAUGAGGAUCGAUAAUCCGAUAAAGCCUAAUAAAUAGAACGUGUAUUAAUCCCUUUAUCACACGAUAUCUAGUUUGAACAUAAGUCAUGGUCAAUGUCAAACUUAUAAUGUUCAAACUUAUGAUUUCUCGAUCUCUAAGUAGACUGAUAAAUUCAAAUAAUAUUGAUCGCACUAUCAAUUCAUUUGAGCACGGCCAUGCAUUUCUCAGCCUCACUUAUCGAGAGACCUAGAAGAUAUCUCUCUUAGAGAGACGGAUAAAUUCUAUCUUGAUUGUUCAAUAUCCUCUACAUAAUUUCUGUUAUGCUCAAUCAUAACAUUUAUGAUUGUUCGAUUAAAGACAAUGUUUGGUUAUGUCAAAAUAUAACAGUCCCUAUGUUAGAAACUAUGACAAUCUCAAGUCAAAAAAUUAAGACAUAACUACUUUGAGAUUCACUGAUGACAAUAACCCAUGUAGUGAUCUCAGUAUGGGUCCAUCCAAUACUUUGUUCUCAAACAAGUAUCUAUGAUUAUUGAAUUCUAUCAACAUAUACAUAAUCAUCUCAUGAUUAUCAAUCAAUAACCAUACUAGUUAUAUUUUAUUAUUAUCAACAUAAUAAUAAAUAACCAGGAAUGUUAAUCAUUAUUAUGUAACAUGCAAACAAAUAAUAAUGAUAGUAAAAACUUUUUUUAUUAAUAACCAAAACGACAUACAAAAAAGUCAAAGAUAAUGACAUAGGGCAAAUACACUAACAUUUAGAACCUUCAAAUAGACUAAAACCUGUAUGUGGAGUUGAGGAAGGAUGGGGGCUAGGCCCAGUAGAGAGGAAGAGGAAGCCUCGACCAAUUGCCCAUAGGCCACAUGAGCAAAUUAAUCCUCGCUCUCAGAACAUAAUAUUUAUUUCUAAAAAUCAUUAUCUUUACUCUGCCAUACUUACUCAUCUUUUUUUGUGCAGAUAUGGUUGGCAAGGGAAAAUUUAUUGAAGCUACUCGUGCUGCUUGCAAAG